UACGAAGGGGGCUAGCGUUGCUCGGAAUUACUGGGCGUAAAGGGCGCGUAGGCGGAUACUUAAGUUAGAGGUGAAAGCCCAGGGCUCAACCCUGGAAUAGCCUUUAAUACUGGGGUAUCUUGAGUUCGGGAGAGGUGAGUGGAAUGCCGAGUGUAGAGGUGAAAUUCGUAGAUAUUCGGCGGAACACCAGUGGCGAAGGCGACUCACUGGCCCGAUACGUGACGCUGAGCGCGAAAGCG
rnacentral:rRNA from 1 species